rnacentral:ncRNA from 14 species
GCAAUGUGGUGUAGAGGUAUCACUUUGGACUCUGAAUCCAAUAACCCGAGUUCGAAUCUCGGCAUU